rnacentral:rRNA from 1 species
UGAUACGCGAGGAACCGUUACCUGGGCUCGAACGUAAGAUGACUGUAGGUGAAAGCUUACAUCUCUUCGGAGCAUUUUUACGAGGUGCUGCAUGGUUGUCGUCAGCUCGUGUCGUGAGAUGUUGGGUUAAGUCCCGUAACGAGCGCAACCUUGUCCUUAGUUACCAGCACGUUAUGGUGGGCACUCUAAGGAGACUGCCGGUGACAAACCGGAGGAAGGUGGGGAUGACGUCAAGUCAUCAUGGCCCUUACGGCCUGGGCUACACACGUGCUACAAUGGUCGGUACAAAGGGUUGCCAAGCCGCGAGGUGGAGCUAAUCCCAUAAAACCGAUCGUAGUCCGGAUCGCAGUCUGCAACUCGACUGCGUGAAGUCGGAAUCGCUAGUAAUCGUGAAUCAGAAUGUCACGGUGAAUACGUUCCCGGGCCUU